GACGAACGCUGGCGGCGUGCCUAAUACAUGCAAGUCGAACGCUGAAGGAGGAGCUUGCUUCUCUGGAUGAGUUGCGAACGGGUGAGUAACGCGUAGGUAACCUGCCUGGUAGCGGGGGAUAACUAUUGGAAACGAUAGCUAAUACCGCAUAAUAGUAGAUGUUGCAUGACAUUUACUUAAAAGGUGCAAUUGCAUCACUACCAGAUGGACCUGCGUUGUAUUAGCUAGUUGGUGGGGUAACGGCUCACCAAGGCGACGAUACAUAGCCGACCUGAGAGGGUGAUCGGCCACACUGGGACUGAGACACGGCCCAGACUCCUACGGGAGGCAGCAGUAGGGAAUCUUCGGCAAUGGACGAAAGUCUGACCGAGCAACGCCGCGUGAGUGAAGAAGGGUUUCGGAUCGUAAAGCUCUGUUGUAAGAGAAGAACGAGUGUGAGAGUGGAAAGUUAACACUGUGACGGUAGCUUACCAGAAAGGGACGGCUAACUACGUG
rnacentral:rRNA from 1 species